AAUCAACGCUGGCGGCGUGCCUAACACAUGCAAGUCGAACGAGAAGGUGACUUCGGUCACUGGAUAGUGGCGUCCGGGUGAGUAACACGUAGGUAAUCUACCUUCGGGUGGGGAAUAACGUCUCGAAAGAGACGCUAAUACCGCAUAAUGCAGCGGCACCUAAUGGUGAUUAGUUGUUAAAGCGGGGGAUCUUCGGACCUCGCGCCUGAAGAGGAGCCUGCGGCAGAUUAGCUAGUUGGUGAGGUAAUGGCUCACCAAGGCUUCGAUCUGUAGCUGGUCUGAGAGGACGGCCAGCCACACUGGCACUGACACACGGGCCAGACUCCUACGGGAGGCAGCAGUGGGGAAUUUUGGGCAAUGGGCGAAAGCCUGACCCAGCAACGCCGCGUGAAGGAGGAAAUCCUUCGGGAUGUAAACUUCAUAAGUAAGGGAAGAAAGCUGCGGAUCGAAUAAGUCCGCAGUCCGACGGUACCUUACGU
rnacentral:rRNA from 1 species